AGCUUUGCGCAGUGGCAUUACCAUUGACAAUGAGGUUCAACCGAGUCGUGGUUAUUGCUAAUUGAAAACUUUUCCCAAUAUCCCGCUAGACGUCAUGAAACACUGACGGCUAUGCAAUAUUUGGAGGUCUCUUAGGAGA
rnacentral:snRNA from 1 species